rnacentral:rRNA from 1 species
UACGUAGGGGGCAAGCGUUGUCCGGAUUUAUUGGGCGUAAAAGGCUUGUAGGUGGCCACGCCAAGUCGGAUGUGAAAUCUCCCGGCUCAACUGGGAGGGGUCAUUCGAUACUGGCGGGCUCGAGGCCGGUAGGGGGAAGUGGAAUUCCCGGUGUAGUGGUGGAAUGCGUAGAUAUCGGGAGGAACACCAGUGGCGAAGGCGGCUUCCUGGACCGGUUCUGACACUGAGGAGCGAAAGCGUGGGGAGCAAACGAG